GGGAAAUUUCAGGGCUUUUGUAACCACAGAUACUGCAGAUGUAAGUACACGUGGUGCUACAACACUGCAAGCCUGUCAUUCUGAUACGCUUACUGGAAGUAGUGAGGAGCUCCACUGCCUAUUUAAAAUCUGCAUUUCGGAGACUGACUCCCUCCGUUUCAGUGUCAUAAAGGUGUCAGCCAACAUCCCUGAAGCCGUGCUAAGAUUUCUAUGGAAGAGAAGACUCCAAAGUCCUGCUUUCAGGCUGCUGCACUGUCCUGGCUUUUGCAUCCUGGCUCUUCUCUCCAUCGGCGUGACCCUGCAUCCUGUUGGUGUAACUGUGUGUAUAGGACUCCUGUGGAUUUCCUUCAGUUCUUAUCAGCUGAGGAUCUUCCUCCCCGCCUCUGACUCAGGUACCGAGAUGCCUAAAGAUGGAUCUUUAAGCCUGCUUUUGCACAGAUGGUCAGAUCCUGAGCUACAGCUAAAGUGCAGGAUGGCACACAGAUGCGAAAUACUGGGCAGGAACAACCCGUAACUUUCCAGGAGUGAUUGGAGAGCUGCCUGAAGAACCCAGUGAAAGAUGCACUCAGACAACAUACGGAAGAAAAAGCUAGUGGCUUAUACCGAGGGUUAUAUAUAUUCACUACCAGAAAGAGUAGUGACAGCACUCUAUCAUCUGCCCCAGCUGAAUCAGUGCGUUAUUGUAUGUUGGCUGAAGGGAGGUUGUACUGAAGCUACCACAAAAGGGAUCCCAAAAUAAGCCAAACCUGCCCUUCCCCCCAGAGCCGCUUCUCACUGCUGUGGGAAGCAGCGGGCACGGAGGGCCUGCGCACCGUGGGCAGUGGCUGCAGGCCGUGUGGUGUAGGGCCUGCAAUUUCAGUGACGUUGGCAAAUUAAAGACACACAAAAAAUGUUUAAAUCAUCCCAAGUGGUAAGAUAACAGACGAAUUAGCUCCAUUCCAACAGCUAGUUGGAAUUCCUUAGUGUUAACGCUGUUGGCAUAGGUACUAAAUUAUUCAGGUUGUUCUGCAGAAUAAUCUGCUCUGUAUUUACAUGCAUUCUAAAUAUUUUAUUUAAAAUACUUUGAUACGGCUUUCCACGUUAGCUGCAUUUUAGUUUGUCUUCAUCUCUGCUCUCUGUGAGAAGUUGCUUUACCGUAAUUAAAACUAACCCUUACGAAAUGCAUUUAUCCAAAAUGGUUUUCUAGAAAUUUUCUCCUCCACAGACUACAUUACCCUCCCGGUACCGCAGCUGGGGGCCGAUCUGCCCAGCCGGCAUAAAGAGGGAUGAUUUAGAUCACUGAGCUCCAGCUCUUGGGUAGUGCUUUUUGCCACCAUGAAAUGCUUUGGGAAUUAAAGCACACCAGAAAACUCACUCGAAUCGCAUUUUAAAAAGCGUUUUCCACCAGUCACUAUGUUAG
ensembl:lncRNA